GCUCACUGGUCGAGUCGGCCCGCGCGGAAGAUGUAACGGGGCUAAACCAUGCACCGAAGCUGCGGCAGCGAACGUAUCACUUAAAUUUGUUUGAGUGAGAAACGAUUGACGGAACGAAGUGACGUCAAUGCGUCCAUUAAAGUCGAGGCGAAAGCCAGGCUAAGCGGAUUUAAGGAUACGUUCGUUGGGUAGGGGAGCGUUCUGUAAGCCUGCGAAGGUGUGCUGUGAGGCAUGCUGGAGGUAUCAGAAGUGCGAAUGCUGACAUAAGUAACGAUAAUGCGGGUGAAAAACCCGCACGCCGGAAGACCAAGGGUUCCUGUCCAACGUUAAUCGGGGCAGGGUGAGUCGACCCCUAAGGCGAGGCUGAAAAGCGUAGUCGAUGGGAAACGGGUUAAUAUUCCCGUACUGGUGGUAACUGCGAUGGGGGAACGGAGAAGGCUAGGUUGUCCGGGCGACGGUCGUCCCGGUUCAAGCAUGUAGGCAGAGUGAUUAGGCAAAUCCGGUCACUUAAUGCUGAGGUGUGAUGACGAACCACUAAGGUGGUGAAGCAAUUGAUGCCCUGCUUCCAGGAAAAGCCUCUAAGCUUCAGGUUACCAACAAUCGUACCCCAAACCGACACAGGUGGUCAGGUAGAGAAUACUCAGGCGCUUGAGAGAACUCGGGUGAAGGAACUAGGCAAAAUGGUGCCGUAAGUUCGGGAGAAGGCACGCUGGCGGUAAGUGAAGUCCCUUGCGGACAGAGCCGAAGCCAGUCGAAGAUACCAGCUGGCUGCAACUGUUUAUUAAAAACACAGCACUGUGCAAACACGAAAGUGGACGUAUACGGUGUGACGCCUGCCCGGUGCUGGAAGGUUAAUUGAUGGGGUUAUCCUUAGGGAGAAGCUCUUGAUCGAAGCCCCAGUAAACGGCGGCCGUAACUAUAACGGUCCUAAGGUAGCGAAAUUCCUUGUCGGGUAAGUUCCGACCUGCACGAAUGGCGUAAUGAUGGCCAGGCUGUCUCCACCCGAGACUCAGUGAAAUUGAACUCGCUGUGAAGAUGCAGUGUACCCGCGGCAAGACGGAAAGACCCCGUGAACCUUUACUAUAGCUUGACACUGAACAUUGAGCCUUGAUGUGUAGGAUAGGUGGGAG
rnacentral:rRNA from 1 species